AUUGAACGCUGGCGGCAUGCCUUACACAUGCAAGUCGAACGGUAACAGGUCUUCGGAUGCUGACGAGUGGCGAACGGGUGAGUAAUACAUCGGAACGUGCCUAGUAGUGGGGGAUAACUACUCGAAAGAGUGGCUAAUACCGCAUGAGAUCUACGGAUGAAAGCAGGGGAUCGCAAGACCUUGUGCUACUAGAGCGGCCGAUGGCAGAUUAGGUAGUUGGUGGGAUAAAAGCUUACCAAGCCGACGAGCUGUAGCUGGUCUGAGAGGACGAUAAGCCACACUGGGACUGAGAAACGGCCCAGACUCCUACGGGAGGCAGCAGUGGGGAAUUUUGGACAAUGGGCGCAAGCCUGAUCCAGCAAUGCCGCGUGCAGGAUGAAGGCCUUCGGGUUGUAAACUGCUUUUGUACGGAACGAAAAGCCCUGGGUUAAUACCCUGGGGUCAUGACGGUACCGUAAGAAUAAGCACCGGCUAACUACGUGCCAGCAGCCGCGGUAAAAC
rnacentral:rRNA from 1 species